AGCCCACCGGGGAAUACCACAGUGUGCCCAUGCCUCUCCAUCCAGCGCUGUCUUCCUCAUUGGAAGUGACCACCUACUUUGUGUCUCGUCUCCCCACCUGACAGCUUCGUCACUUCCAGAACCCAGGGCUCAGCUUUCAAGGGCAUAUUAUAAAUAGAUCCUCCUUACCAGGACUCUCCUUUCUUAUCUGUGAACUGACACCAAGCACAGGCAACCAGGGCACAAAGAAAGAAUGCUGUCCGGGACGGAGCAGAUAAUCAAUAUCUUCAAAAGAGUUGAGAGCACGUUUUCCCAAGGGGGAAGUGAGGAAGGUCUGAAAAUGACAGCCUGGGGAAGCUUCCUGGGAUCUUCUGUGGAGGGGAGGGAAUCAUUUAAAGGAGAAGAUUUCCUGCUGCCGUUUUUGAAAUUUGGAGAAAUUUCUGUGGAUGGAACUCAAGUCAUCUGAACUUUUCCGCAUCCCAGGGGUGUGAAAAUUCAGAAACUGAGAAGCACUGUGCUGUGGAGUCUUCAGAAGAGAAGGCUUUUUAGUUCAUGCCUGAAAAGUCCCAGUAGAGUAUGAGAAGCCCAUCAAAUUCAGCUGUCCUGCUUUACAGAUAAUGCAAUUGAGCACAUAGAGGAGCCCCAGGAAUAAGAUCUAAUAUUAUAACCAGAUGUGCCAGGCCCAGCUCUUCCUUCCACCUAUAGUGAGAAAAUAUUAGUGGGGCAGACCAGAGAACUGCCAAAUCAUUCUCUGCUCUAAAGAUAAAAAAUUAAAAUGUGCCCAUUGGAAGCUGCCUUCCACCAAGGACAUCUGCCUGAAGGAUGUCCCUGUGGAGGCUGAAGGAACACAAACACAGAUCUCUCCUGCCCUUGUAACUGGCUUCAGAAGGGCCUAUGAUAUUUCAGUGAUUAUUUCAGGAGCUAAGGUAGUAAAUUGGAGGCGUGAUGUAGAAGGUCAUGAAGCAGCUGUUGGCUUUCUCUGAAUGUAGAUUAUGUUCCUGUAAGGCAGAGCGUCUGUAGUCUGUAAAUAUUCUCCGUAACAAGUCACCCACGAGAUGCUGGUAAACCUCACCCUCAGGGUUAGCCCUGGCUCUCACUCACACCCUGACGACUCUUUCCUUGGUCCUCUCCCCAAGUGACACAUGUGAGCUGUGUCAUGUUACCAUAAAGACUAGCCAACACCUCAUCCAUGACUAUCAUGAUCUUGAUGUUCCUCUUACAUGGACCAAAACCCUGUAUUUGAUUAUGACUUUUAGCCUUUAUUUUUACUCUCACUAUAUUCUUCAAACUGACAGUGACCAUAAUCAACAAUCUAACCCUCUCUUGACUUUCAUACUGACUGUGACCCUCUUACCAAACUUUACCAUGUCUAUGACACUGAAGCUAACCUUUACCUGCAAAUUGACCCUGACCCCAUGCUUGGUACCCACACACUCUAUCUGAUCUCCUUACUCCUCAAUUGUUACUUCUUCCUUGAUAAUGUAUCUGACCUUGAUAAUCACUCUGAUCAUGAUUAAUUAUCAUGACCUCACAAUAGCCUCAUCCUCACAUUAGUUUGUAUCUCAAAAAGCCUUUAAUUUUGGUUGAAUUUCUUAUUCUUCUUCCUCAGCAGUUGCCUUUAUCCUUGUUGUCACUUUCAGUUUGAUCCUGAGCCUAAACCUUAUCCAUUCAUUGAUCCUUACAUGACCCCAGCUUUUAUACUUCCAUACACUGACAGUAAACUAGUGGAUCACAUCUCGACUGAACACAGGAAGUACAGAUGAACAGGGAGUAGGAUUAGGCUAUACAUCCUCAAAACCCAUCCCUAAGGGACAUUCUUCCUCCAGCAAGAUCACAUCCCCUAAAGUCCUAUAGCCUCCCCAAACAGUGCUAUCAACUGGGGACCAAGUAUUUAAAUGCAUAAGCCUGUAGGAGACAUUUCUUAUUCGGACUACCACAUCACAGACCCUAAAAUACACAACCACUCUCACUUUGACCCUGUUUUCUUCAACCUCACCCUAAUACUCUCUUACUCGCUCAUCUUGACUUCCAACUUUACUCCAUCACACACCCAUUUACCCAUUACCCUGAACCUACUC